AGAGUUUGAUCCUGGCUCAGAUUGAACGCUGGCGGCAGGCCUAACACAUGCAAGUCGAGCGGAAACGACACUAACAAUCCUUCGGGUGCGUUAAUGGGCGUCGAGCGGCGGACGGGUGAGUAAUGCCUAGGAAAUUGCCUUGAUGUGGGGGAUAACCAUUGGAAACGAUGGCUAAUACCGCAUAAUGCCUACGGGCCAAAGAGGGGGACCUUCGGGCCUCUCGCGUCAAGAUAUGCCUAGGUGGGAUUAGCUAGUUGGUGAGGUAAUGGCUCACCAAGGCGACGAUCCCUAGCUGGUCUGAGAGGAUGAUCAGCCACACUGGAACUGAGACACGGUCCAGACUCCUACGGGAGGCAGCAGUGGGGAAUAUUGCACAAUGGGCGAAAGCCUGAUGCAGCCAUGCCGCGUGUAUGAAGAAGGCCUUCGGGUUGUAAAGUACUUUCAGUUGUGAGGAAGGGGGUAGUGUUAAUAGCGCUAUCUCUUGACGUUAGCAACAGAAGAAGCACCGGCUAACUCCGUGCCAGCAGCCGCGGUAAUACGGAGGGUGCGAGCGUUAAUCGGAAUUACUGGGCGUAAAGCGCAUGCAGGUGGUUCAUUAAGUCA
rnacentral:rRNA from 1 species